AAUUAUCCAGUGCUUCCUCCACCCUUAAGGAUCCCCUUUUCGUCCUAUCCGCCGUCAAACAUAGGACUCAGUGCAGGGAGCGGCCCCCGCACCCCGAGGGCACUACUGGGGGCGGAGAGUUAAAAACACGGAGAGGAGGACGCUCCGGAGAAGAGGGGAGCAUGGCGGGCAUGAGGUACUGAGUGAAAAGGGGGAUGGCGAGGGAAACGGGGAGCGAGGGAGGGGAGAAAGAGUAAAAAGCGAAGACACGAAGGGACACCAGCCGGGUCGCGCGAGGCCUAAGUGAAAGACCAGGGCGCGCGCGCGGGGGGGAGGGGAAGAGGUGAAGGGGAGCGCGAGGCGGGGGCGCGCGGGCCGGGCUGGGGGAGGGGACGCCAGGCGGGGGCGCGCGGGCGGGCGUCGGCUCGCGGGCGCUUCCCCUCCCCCCGCCCUCCACCUUUCCCCUCCCCCACCGCCGCCUUCUCGCAGCCUCGCUCCCUCCGUCGCUCCUCACCGCCCCNNNNNNNNNNNNNNNNNNNNNNNNNNCUUGACUCCGCCUUAACCACACGCCACGACGGCCAUUGGAGGAACUUAGCCGGCUACCCGCCCUCCUCUUCUUGCUCCUACCAAUUGAAAGCGGGAUACCAAGACUUCACCCCACCCUUGAGGAAUGGGUGGCUGGAGAAGUAGUGAUUGGCGUUAAGAAAAUCCAAUCAUAAAUGGAGAAGGGGGAUGGUCUAGCGGGGGCGCGUUAAUGGGUACCUCGGCCAGUCCCAGACACAUCCGGGUCUUCGACAGCCCAUUAAGUGUCGGGGGUCAAAAAAUCGCUUCAGGCUGCAGCUUUACCUUGUAGACGUUUUGGUCCCCUGGCAGCCGCCGUACCACCUAGUCUCUUAAAACCGGGAUUCUCCUUUGACAGGCUCUCAUUCUUUCUCGUCUAAAGAUGGAGACCGGGAACGGCGCUGGGCUCUGUGUUUGGGUGGGUGGUGUUUCAUCGCGACAGAAUCCAUGAAUUUAAGGACAGGACUAGCUUUAGGAGCUCUGGCCUUGUCUUUCUGGGGUGUGGCCUGCCCCGUUCUGCCCAAGGCCUUGGGACUCGUGUGUUAAUUUACUUCUGACCGGUCCUUUCCUGGUUGUACCGUAACAGCACAAAGAAAAAACAAACAAUUAGCUAAAUGUACUGAAUUUAUGGUGUAUACUCUGGGAUCUGGUCUUUUUCUGUUCACAGUGAGGAUACAGCUUCCCACCCCACCCUAUUGCACUAGCUAAGUCAAGGCCCGGGUUCUUUUGCUAGCCUGGCUAUCUCCUACUUCCUCCAAGAGGUUAGACCCGCCUACAUUCUACGUUUCUAGAACACCAUGAAUAUUCUUUCUGAGCGCCCUAGAAAUGAGAACUAAUUAUC
ensembl:antisense 4930537H20Rik RIKEN cDNA 4930537H20 gene